rnacentral:rRNA from 1 species
UAGUCCACGCCGUAAACGAUGUCUACUAGCCGUUGGGAGGAUUUACCUCUUAGUGGCGCAGCUAACGCCUUAAGUAGACCGCCUGGGGAGUACGGCCGCAAGGCUAAAACUCAAAGAAAUUGACGGGGGCCCGCACAAGCGGUGGAGCAUGUGGUUUAAUUCGAUGCAACGCGAAGAACCUUACCUACCCUUGACAUCAUCAGAACUUGUUAGAGAUAACUCGGUGCCUUCGGGAACUGAUAGACAGGUGCUGCAUGGCUGUCGUCAACUCGUGUCGUGAGAUGUUGGGUUAAGUCCCGUAACGAGCGCAACCCUUGUCCUUAGUUGCCAGCACGUAAUGGUGGGGACUCUAGGGAGACUGCCGGUGACAAACCGGAGGAAGGUGGGGAUGGACGUCAAGUCAUCAUGGGCCCUUAUGGGGUAGGGGCUACACACGUGCUACAAUGGUUGGGUACAGAGGGGCCGCAAACUCGCGAGAGUAA